rnacentral:rRNA from 1 species
AUGCUUACACAUGCAAGUCGAACGGUAGCAGGCCUUCGGGUGCUGACGAGUGGCGGACGGGUGAGUAACGCGUAGGAAUCUGCCCUGUAGUGGGGGACAACGUGGGGAAACUCACGCUAAUACCGCAUACGCCCUGAGGGGGAAAGCGGGGGACCUUCGGGCCUCGCGCUAUGGGAUGAGCCUGCGUGGGAUUAGCUAGUUGGUAGGGUAAAGGCCUACCAAGGCGACGAUCCCUAGCCGGCCUGAGAGGGUGGCCGGCCACACUGGGACUGAGACACGGCCCAGACUCCUACGGGAGGCAGCAGUGGGGAAUAUUGGACAAUGGGCGCAAGCCUGAUCCAGCAAUGCCGCGUGUGUGAAGAAGGCCUGAGGGUUGUAAAGCAUUUUCAGUGGGGAGGAAAAAGCGAAGGUUAAUACCCUUGGUCUUGACAUUACCCAGAGAAGAAGCACCGGCUAACUCCGUGCCAGCAGCCGCGGUAAUACGGAGGGUGCGAGCGUUAAUCGGAAUUACUGGGCGUAAAGCGUGCGUAGGCGGCUAUUUAAGUCAGAUGUGAAAGCNCCGGGCUUAACCUGGGAACGGCAUUUGAUACUGGGUAGCUAGAGUUUGGUAGAGGGGAGUGGAAUUUCAGGUGUAGCGGUGAAAUGCGUAGAGAUCUGAAGGAACACCAGUGGCGAAGGCGGCUCCCUGGACCAGAACUGACGCUGAGGCACGAAAGCGUGGGUAGCAAACAGGAUUAGAUACCCUGGUAGUCCNCGCCGUAAACGAUGNCGACUAGNNGNUGGGUCUUUAAGGAGGCUUGGUGGCGCAGCUAACGCAAUAAGUCGGCCGCCUGGGGAGUACGGCCGCAAGGUUAAAACUCAAAUGAAUUGACGGAAGGGCGAAUUC